rnacentral:rRNA from 1 species
AACCUUUACAAUGCAGGAAACUGUGAUAGGGGAACUCAGAGUGCUUUGCUUAGGUAAGGCUUUUGCUAAGAGCAAACAUCUUAGCGAAUAAGUGGUGGGAAAGACGGGUGCCAGCCGCCGCGGUAACACCUGCGCCACAAGUGGCAACCAUGUUUAUUGGGCCUAAAGCGUCCGUAGCCGGUUCUAUAAGUCUUUUGUGAAAUUGUUAGGCUUAACUUAACAGCGUGCAGGAGAUACUGUAGAACUAGGAACUGGGGGGAGUCAGAAGAAUUUCUGGGGGAGCGGUAAAAUGUUAUAAUCCCGGAAGGACUACCAGUGGCGAAAGCGUCUGACUAAUACAGGUUCGACGGUGAGGGACGAAAGCCAGGGGAGCAAUCCGG